UUCGGAAAGCACUAGAGUGGUUUCCUGCUCUUCUAUUUUUUCUAGUACAAGUUGGAUCUCUGAAAUUUUUGGGGCGUUCUCCUUGGUCGAUCGUGUUGCAGCGGCUGCACUAUGGUCAAGUUUUUUCUUGUUCUGUUUUCCCUUGCUCCUAGUUGCUGCAAGUGGAAGAUCCGAGAGAAGUUUUUUUCUUCUUCCUCCUUGUUCUCUGUUCCACUGGUGGCGGAGUUGUAGAGGUCGUGGCGGUUGGUUAACGGCAAAUGUUAGUCCUUGGUUUUGGGUUGCUGAUCGUUGUUUUUCUUGGCGCUAUGGGUGGUUCCAAUCUGAGGCUGUAGAGAAGCUGGUGGUUAGACGACAUGCGGCGGUGUUACAUUUGCUCAUCCAGGUUUUGUCAUUUCUGGUCUUCAAUUGGCGACGGCAGCGAGCUCGUGGUGAAGUCUUCCUCAAGCGGGGGUUGUGACGUUUUUUAUUGGGUUCUCUCACUGCGAGGAGUGGUUCCAUAUUCGUUUUUCUCCUCAGCAUUGGUUCUGGUCGCUGUGGAACAACGGCUGGUCUUCCCUUGUGGCAAAAGGUUUGGUGGCGCCGACUGUCAACAGCUUCGGAGUCCAAAUCGUUUAAUCAUCCGAAGCGUUUUCUGCCCAUUUGGAGCUUGGCACCGUUGUUGGCAGUCAGAAUCAAGAGCAGUCAUCUUCAUUGUCUCUGUAGAGCACGAACCGGAUCUGGGCUCUGCCAUCGUCAAACAUUCAUCUAUCGGCUUUGUUUUUUUUUUUCUUAAGUCUGGAUUUGCUUGAAUUGGUGACCUGCGACAUUUGCUCUACAUGUUGCAGUGCCCUGAUUACCGUCGUAGGGAAGGAGUCGGAAUGUUGGAGCAGAUCCGAGGUUGACAGGAUUGUGUAAGUGUGACUAUUGAUGCUAGGGGUUCGAAAGAGUGAACAAUUUGGAUCAUUAAUCGUUGACGAGCAAUUUCAUAAUCUUGCAGCUAGACAACGGCAGAUGUUUCAACCAUUAACACUUUACUUUAUCAUCUGUUAGAUUAUCUUGUGUUUGAUCA